rnacentral:rRNA from 1 species
GACAGAGGGGGCAAGCGUUGCUCGGAAUCACUGGGCGUAAAGGGCGCGUAGGCGGGAUGGCAAGUCGGUCGUGAAAUCCUUCGGCUCAACCGAAGAACGUCGGCCGAUACUGCCGUUCUUGAGGGAUGCAGAGGAGAUUGGAAUUCCCGGUGUAGCGGUGAAAUGUGUAGAGAUCGGGAGGAAGACCAGUGGCGAAGGCGGGUCUCUGGACAGUUCCUGACACUGAGACACGAAGGCCAGGGGAGCAAACGGG